rnacentral:rRNA from 1 species
AACGCUAGCUACAGGCUUAACACAUGCAAGUCGAGGGGCAGCAUGAACUUAGCUUGCUAAGUUUGAUGGCGACCGGCGCACGGGUGAGUAACACGUAUCCAACCUUCCGUUUACUCAGGGAUAGCCUUUCGAAAGAAAGAUUAAUACCUGAUAGUAUGGUGAGAUUGCAUGAUGGCACCAUUAAAGAUUUAUUGGUAAACGAUGGGGAUGCGUUCCAUUAGGUAGUAGGCGGGGUAACGGCCCACCUAGCCGGCGAUGGAUAGGGGUUCUGAGAGGAAGGUCCCCCACAUUGGAACUGAGACACGGUCCAAACUCCUACGGGAGGCAGCAGUGAGGAAUAUUGGUCAAUGGACGAGAGUCUGAACCAGCCAAGUAGCGUGAAGGAUGAAGGUCCUACGGAUCGUAAACUUCUUUUAUAAGGGAAUAAAACCUCCCACGUGUGGGAGCUUGUAUGUACCUUAUGAAUAAGCAUCGGCUAACUCCGUGCCAGCAGCCGCGGUAAUACGGAGGAUGCGAGCGUUAUCCGGAUUUAUUGGGUUUAAAGGGAGCGCAGACGGGUCGUUAAGUCAGCUGUGAAAGUUUGGGGCUCAACCUUAAAAUUGCAGUUGAUACUGGCGUCCUUGAGUGCGGUUGAGGUGUGCGGAAUUCGUGGUGUAGCGGUGAAAUGCUUAGAUAUCACGAAGAACUCCGAUUG